AUGUAUUGUGUGUGUGUUUAUUUACCCAGUAAGGAAGUGUCAAAGCAGUCUUCUUUCAUCUGUUGGCUCAACUGGUUUAUUUGUCCAAUCAAUGCUUUAAUCCCGCUCCUCUGUCUUUGUACUACGGUUUUCCUUCUUCCAUUCUAGUUUUUGUAAUGACUGUUGGAACCUCAAUAAAGGUGCUGCACAUAUAUCAGAACACGGUGUCCAAAGCACUGAUACCUUUUAUUUGAAUAACUUCACAUGAGACAUGGAACUAAAAUAUCUUCCAUGUGAAUUUGGGGGAUCAGCGUCAGGUUGACAGUGACAGAUGAAGUGCUUUGGAGAAGACUUCUUUUUGUAUGCUAGCAAGCAUCUCCCCUUAAAACUCCAACAGGAUUUUAAUCAUAAGAGACAUGUCAGAUAAAGGAAGAUAAUUGCUUAUUGUUGAUAAAUGAUAUGUGAUGAUAAAGUCUUCCGGGUCUUCCGGGCUCAGACUAGGGAGAUUUGUAAUGGAUUGACAUCUGCCUUGAGCGGUAGCAAGAUAAAUUCCCCUCCUGAAGCCCGGCCAGAUGGUGGUGUUGGCUGAUGAGGCCGCUAUAAUUCUGAAUGUCUGAAUUGAUGAAGGUGUUGAAUUCGAUGAAGAUUGGGAGGAGAUGUGGAGGUGGACAGAUGACUCACAGCAGCAUGAUGAUGAGUCCUGAUUUGUUGUGCUAAUUGAAUGGAAAAGACCAGCUGAUCAAAACAGCUGAUGGAAAGAAUGAGUGAGCAUACAGAUGUGUGAGAAAUAAGCUACGGGUUUAGGCAUUCAAGAGUCUUCCCCCCCUGUACGCUGCGCUAGACAGAUUUGUUUGUUAGUGUUGAGAUUAUUGUCGCAAACUAUACUCAAGUUUAGUCCAGGAAGAUAAUCUUCACAAAUCAACAACAAUUUUAGUUUUUGAAGUAUGAAUGUGAUCCCUUAAAGUAAAAAGCUAAUUGUUGCAUCAGCGGGAAUACAAGCGACAUGGCAAUAAAGGCUGAGUAGGCGCGGCAGGUUUUGCAGUGUCAUUUAACCACCUGUUAGCAACCAACUGCUCGACCACACAAAAAAGAUUUCAACUGAGAUAUAUUAUACAUAUCUCAACCUCGUGGUACCCACAAACCUUACUGUGUGCGUCUAACCAAGAACCCUUCUUCCCCUCUGACUUUGUAUCAAGGGAGUUGAAACAUCACAAACUCUUGAUUUUUAGGACUCAAUCAGGUAUCACUCGAUUGGUCUGAAGAUGCCUUUAUCCUUGAUGACCCCCAUCCAUAAAUUUACAUAAAAUUUCACCGAGCUGUCGCGGGAAACACACUUUUUUUAAGGCGAACCCUGAAAUAAUUUACAGAUAUAUUUUGUAAUACACAGUUUCAUCUUCCAAAUUUAUAUAAACAAGCACAUACGAAUUGGAAAAAAGCCCGGGUGAGAUAAAUUUGGCUGCAAAGUUGAAAUUGUGCAGUGAAUCAAGACUAUAGUCCUACUUUCUGCAGCAAUUUUGAAAUGCCAUAUUGGAAAAAAACAUCAAUUUAGUGCAACAAAUGCAACACAGUUGUCAUCCAAAUCUUCUUUCCAGGAUAUCUGUGGAGAAGGUGUGCAUCUGUUACUCAUCCUCCGAAUCAACUUUUUUUUCUUUGUUAAACUGUGAACUCGUGUCCCCCAGCUCUCCGCCUACAUCGGCUGAUUAGAUUAAGUAUGGCGCUAUUUGGCCUUCACAAUAGUGCAACACUGGAGCAGGGCGUUCCCCUGCAGAAUUCAUUGUGAAAUAUACCUUCACACUCCAACGUGCAUGGGUGAUCUCAUAGCAUGAGGUUAAUGGGUGUAAGUUGCAG
ensembl:lncRNA